rnacentral:rRNA from 1 species
UACGUAGGGGGCAAGCGUUGUCCGGAUUUAUUGGGCGUAAAGAGCGUGUAGGCGGCCAGAUAGGUCCGUUGUGAAAACUCGAGGCUCAACCUCGAGACGCCGAUGGAAACCAUUUGGCUAGAGUCCGGAAGAGGAGAGUGGAAUUCCUGGUGUAGCGGUGAAAUGCGCAGAUAUCAGGAGGAACACCAAUUGCGAAGGCAGCUCGCUGGAACGUUACUGACGCUGAGACGCGAAAGCGUGGGGAGCAAACAGG